rnacentral:pre_miRNA from 1 species
AGGAGGAACAACCGCAGUGGCAGUGGUCAGCUCUGAAGCCCUAGAGUCAGCUCCUGCAGUAACUAAGGAGCUCUCCGUCUGCAGGGCCUGGAGGCUCUGGGGUGGG